rnacentral:rRNA from 1 species
GACGAACGCUGGCGGCGUGCUUAACACAUGCAAGUCGAACGGAAAGGCCCUGCAUUUGUGGGGUGCUCAAGUGGCGAAAGCGUGAGUAUCACGCGAGUAACCUGCCCUUUACUUUGGGGUACCUCAAGGAAACACGGGUUAUUAUAGGAUAGGAGCACCUGAUGCACAGUGUGGAUGGGAAAGAUGCGGCGGUUGGGGAUGGAAGCGCGGUUCAUCGGCUUGUUGGUGGGGUUGUGGCUUACCAAGGCGUGGACGGGUAGCCGGCCUGAGAGGGUGACCGGGCACAUUGGGACUCAGAUACGGCCCAGACUCCUACGGGAGGCAUCAGUGGGGAAUAUUGCACACUGGGCGGAAGCCGUAUGCAGCAUCUCCGCGUGCGGGAUGACUGCCUUCGGGGUGUAAACCGCUUUAGCCUGUGACGAAGCGUGAGUGACGGUAAUGGGUAAAGAAGCACCGGCUAACUACGUG